rnacentral:tRNA from 1 species
GGGGUUGUGGCUCAGGGGUAGAGUGCUUGCCUGGCAUGUGUGAGGCACUUGGUUCACUCAUCAGUACCUCAUAAAAAUAAAUAAAUAAAGGAAUUGUGUCUGUCUACAACUAAAAAAAAAAAAAAGAAUAAACAGAAGCCAGAUGCCUGUCAUCCCAGCUACUCAG